CAUAAAUUGAAAAAAAUAUAAAAAUGACACUGAUUUGGUCACACAGAAAAACAGUAUAUAUUGCCUUAUAUUUUUAGCAUCAGUUAGUUACAAUUUCAUAAGAAGAUUUACACACACAUAAAGGGAUUUACACGUUGGUUACAGAGGAUAAAGCUAGCUAACAAGAUGAAGUCAUGUAGAGUUAGGACUUUGGAGAAAGAUGUUUAUCUUUAUCAUCAGUUGCUGCAAUGUUUAUCUCUUUAACAACCCAUUGCAAAUUGAUAGGCAAAUCACAGACGAAAAAUUUGUCACGAAGAUAGCAAAAUCUAUCUGUUGUAGGUCUCUUAGUGAAAAUAUCGGCAAGUUGCAUGUUAGUAGAUAAGUGCUCAAUAAUUAUUUCCUUCUUGGCCACCUUUUCAUGCACAAAGUGGUAAUCCACUUCAAUAUGCUUGGAUUGGGCAUGAAAAAUGGGAUUCGAUGCUAGAGCAAGAGCACACUCACAUUGUUACACCACGCUACACGGGGAGAAUCAAGAGAAAUCUUCAACUUAUACCACAGCAUGUGCAUCCAGUAAACUUCAGCUAUGAUCAAGGCUAGGUGGCAAUGCUCUGCCUCUAUAUUGGACUUAGAAACUGCAGGUUGUUUCUUUGCUGACAAAGAAAUCAAUUUGUGGCUGACAUACACUCCAUGUCCAUAUGUUGAACGACGAUCAUCCGGGUCCCUAGCCCAAUCAGAGUCACAAUAAGCAUUGAGAACAAUUGGUCCAGCUUUAUAGAGCAUUCCAAAAUCAAUAAAAAUAACACAAUAUCGACAGCCACUUAAAGAUUGAGUGGAUGUGGUCCAUACAUCAGAAUGAAUCAACUCUAUAGGAGCAAAACUUUCUCAUAAAUAAUUGGAGAAAGGCAACUGCUUAGACUUUCCUAACUGACAAGACACACAAAUUGACUCUUUACCAAGGGAGUCACUAACAGGAAGAGAAAAACUGGAAAUGACACGGCUAAGAGUUGUAAAGAAGGGAUGCCCAAGGCCACAAUGCCAAGUAGAGCUUGAAGCCUUAACAUUGACAGUCAUAGUGAGAGCAUGUAGCUUGGAAGAUGAGAGUUGGCGUAGGUUGAUCGAGUACAAUCCAUUUUCACUUGGCCUCGUCAAAAGCGUAACCUUUGUCGAGAUGUCCUUCACAAUAAAAUUUGAACCAAUAAGUUCAAACAUAACAUUAUUGUCACGACAAAAUUUAUUUAUGGACAAAAGAUGAGCAGAAGAUUGAGGACAAUAGGCAACAUCUUUUAAAGCAAGAGUAGAAAGAGAUGUUUGUAUGGAAGCAUUGUCAGUGUGUGAGAUGAUCAAACCUAUCCCAUUAAGUCAUGGCCUUCAUAGGGCUGCGAGGUAGCAAGAUUAGCAAUGUCAGAGGUGACAUAUAUGUUGGCACCACUAUCAGCAUACCUUAAUGUUGAGAUAAAUAAGUGGUAUUAGCCUCAGCAACCAUGGCAGCCAAUUCAGUAGAAGGAUGACGUCCUUGAAAGGCAUAGUUUAUGAGGUUGAAGUAGUCAAGUGCUUGAUGAUCCCCCUUUUUACAUAUUUGACAUGGAGAUUUUAGGCGAUUGUGCAUAGAUUGCUUUGGGGACUAUACUGAGGAAGAGGGCAAGUGAGGCAGUGGGUGUCGAAAUUUAGAUAAGGAUCAUUGCACUUGGCUUUUCGAAGGAGCUGAGGUUCGAGUCUUAUUAGGGUGAGGCUUAGACUGAGACUUGUGAGAGUACAACGCAUAGGAACCAGUCUCAGGUUGAAUGGAUUGAUUGUGAAAUUUUUGCAUGAGAUCAAAAUUGAGCAACUCAGCUUGAAAAUCUGAGAAAGACAUCAACUUCUUUCUGGAGAUAAGCAUAUAGGUGGUCAUAAAGGAAUGAAAGGAGGAGUUGAGCAUGUUGAGGACAGAAAGAACCAAGUCUGAAUCUGCCACAGGUUUGCCAACUGCAAACAAUUCAUCGGAAAGGUUCUUCACUUCAGUAAAAAACUCUUGACAUGAAAAGAAUCCAUGCUGGAUGGACUGAAGCUUUGUUUUGAUGAGAGAAAUUCGAGAUGUGGAUGGAGUAGCAAAACGUGAGCUAAGGGCUUGCUAAGCAAGCUGAGAGGUCUUAAGACCAUAAAUAGUGGAGACCACCGAAGGAGAUAAAGAUGAAAUUAUCCAGCCAAGCACUGUUUGGUCCUUAUAUUGCCAAACCACAUAGGCAGGAUUAAGAACACCCAAAGCUUUUUGAUCAUCACUGGUAAAUUGAGGAGGACAGGAAUUAGAACCAUCAACAAUUCCCAUCAGGCCAUAGCUUCGAAAAAUUGGCAGAAGUUGGGCACUCUAGGCAAGGUAAUUUGUCCCAUCAAGCUUGAUGGAAAUAACCUACUCAGGUAGAUGAAAAGCAGUGAAAGAAGAUGUAGAACCAGUAGUAGCCAUAGAAGCACAAUAAGCGUGAGCUUGGGAAGGGUUUGAUACCAUGAAAAAAAUAUAAAAAUAACACUGAUUUGGUCACACAGAAAAACAACAUAUAUUACCUUGUAUUUAUAGCAUCAGUUAGUUACAAUUACAUGAGAAGAUUUACAUACACAUAAAGGGAUUUACACGUUGGUUACAAAGGAUAAACUAGCUAACAAGAUGAAGUCAUGUAGAGUUAGGACUUUGGAGAAAGAAG
rnacentral:lncRNA from 1 species